rnacentral:rRNA from 1 species
CCUACGGGGGGCAGCAGUGGGGAAUAUUGGACAAUGGGGGGAACCCUGAUCCAGCGACGCCGCGUGAGUGAAGAAGUAUUUCGGUAUGUAAAGCUCUAUCAGCAGGGAAGAAAGAAAUGACGGUACCUGACUAAGAAGCCCCGGCUAACUACGUGCCAGCAGCCGCGGUAAUACGUAGGGGGCAAGUGUUAUCCGGAUUUACUGGGUGUAAAGGGGGCGUAGACGGCGAGGCAAGUCUGAAGUGAAAGGCGGGGGCCCAACCCCCGGACUGCUUUGGAAACUGUAUGGCUGGAGUGCAGGAGAGGUAAGUGGAAUUCCUAGUGUAGCGGUGAAAUGCGUAGAUAUUAGGAGGAACACCAGUGGCGAAGGCGGCUUACUGGACUGUAACUGACGUUGAGGCUCGAAAGCGUGGGGAGCAAACAGGAUUAGAUACCCUGGUAGUC